rnacentral:rRNA from 1 species
AGUAACACGCGGAUAACCUACCUAUAAGACUGGGAUAACUUCGGGAAACCGGAGCUAAUACCGGAUAAUAUUUUGAACCGCAUGGUUCAAAAGUGAAAGACGGUCUUGCUGUCACUUAUAGAUGGAUCCGCGCUGCAUUAGCUAGUUGGUAAGGUAACGGCUUACCAAGGCAACGAUGCAUAGCCGACCUGAGAGGGUGAUCGGCCACACUGGAACUGAGACACGGUCCAG